CGCGAUAUCAACAGUCAGCGUAAUUUCCACAAUUUGCCCCCCAUUCAAUGAUAUUCCAAUGAUUCUUACAUUUCAGCCAUUGUCCAUUAAAUCGAUCAUCAGUUUAUGCAAUCCAAUCGUUUUUGCUUCAAUGCCCCGUCAGUUUCUAGCAAUCCACUAUCUUAAGAAAAGUCAUUGAAAUCAGGCACAAGGUGAGGGUUUAAUCGGAGCACCAAAGUCCGUCGGGUCAAGGAUUUCUACCAUGAUAUGACGAAAGGUCAGUGAUGAUGUUGUUUGGGGCGAUGGCAGUGGUAGGUAGUGGAAAAAUCAAAGCCUCAACAGUGGCUGAUUUAGGGUUCCUUCAUGAGUCAGUCGGGUAUUGUCUCUUCUCUCUUGAAUUUUCAUUCGUAGCCUUCAUCCAGUUUCUGUCCGUCGAUCAGGUACCCCUACAAAAUCAUCUCGAAGCAUCUUUAUUCUAUGUGUGUUUGUGAUUUUGAGUUUAACCUAGAUUUUAUAGAGAUGGGGAAGGAAGCUUUUGAUUUUGAGGGCUUUGGGUGUAUUUGCAUUUGUUGAUUUUGCAUGCAGUGGUCAAUUAGACUUACAUUGGGGUCACUACUAUGAGGAUGAAAUUAAGGUUCAGAAAAGCUACAUAACUUUGAGGUACAAAAUCAGAACAAAAGUUCAAUCUGGAACUUUGAGGUACACAUAACUUUUUAUUAUGUUUUUGAUCAUGUUUAAUCACAAUUUGUGUUUAUGCGAAUUGAUUUUGGUAAUCCAUAUAGCCCCUAAUAUGUUAAAAAUUCAUAAGCAAACGAUCGACGAUAAACGGAAUGAUGGGAAAAUGGAAACAAAUAGCCACCCUCAGACCAAUUAUUUGGGUUCUUCUUGUCCGGUCACUGUUUCUAGGCGAUGGUAGCAUUUCAUUUAUGUAUUAUUAGUUCAUGCAAAUAUUAUUACUGGUUUAUGCUCAUUUAAUAUUUUCAUGCUUGACUUUGGUGAUUAGGGUUGACUCAGAGCACGCAAUGGCUGAAGUAGACAACGUGGAAGAUGAUGACGACUUGUGGAAAAAGUUAUGGUGGUUGCCAAACAUGUUGAGCAGGAAAAAGGAAGCAAUUUGUUCAUCUUUACUGAAUAGUGUCUCCAAGAGCUAUUUUGUAAAGACCAAUGGCAGGCUCUCAAGUUCCGUAUUGUCUUGUCUGAUAGAGAAGAAAAUGUCAGAUUCUUGGUCACCGCUUGAUCCAAGUACCUUUAAAGUGCGGGGACAUAAUUAUUUAAAAGAUAAAAAGAAAGAAUGUGCUUCAAAUCAAGCUGCUUAUUACCCUAUUGGUGUUGACGUAUUCUUAUCUCCCCAUAAGAUUGAUCCUAUUGCACGCCUUCUUGAACUCCCAAAAGUUGAAUCAUCUGGAAAAAUCCGUCAUUUGCUUGUUGUAAAUCUUCAAAUACCUUUAUACCCCCUACACUAUUUCAAAAUGAAUAUGACGGAGAAGGAAUGAGUUAUGUUUUGAUCUUCAAGCUAUCUGAAAAUUAUGAGGAACUUCCGCUUCAUUUUAAAGAAAAUAUCAGGGUGGAAAGGGUUAGAGGUUUCCCGGUAGAUACCAUUGCACCCUGUAGGGAAAGAUUGAAGAUCUUGGGCCGACUCACAAACUUAGAGGAUCUUCAGUUGAGUUCCGCUGAAAGGAAGCUUAUGAGUGCUUAUAACGAGAAGCCCGUUCUCUCACGUCCCCAACAUGAAUUUUUCUUGCUUGCUGAAAUAACAGUCAUGCUGGUGCUGACUCAAACGACCACUUGUAUACGCUGGUGGAACACAUGGCUGAUGGUGGCAAAUCCGUAACUAAUAAUGAGGCGUUGGGGGCGGACGAUGAAGCCGAAACAUCAGUGGCUUCAGUUGAAGAUCAGUUAAGAAAAUAAAUGACCGUGUAUGAGUUCUGGCGUUUUGAUACAAAUUGAUGUUUGCUCUCACAUUGGUUUCUCGGGGUUAAUGAUGUUAACAGCCUUCAUGCGUUUCGUACGGAUACCCUUAAAUCCAGUUAUGGACCUGUGGGUGAUUUUUUAUGGAUGAACGGAAUUCGGUUUCCAUACCUUCGCAAAAGAAAGAUGUAAUGCAGACGGAAAACGCGUGUUUAGAAGCACAACAGAGUGAAAUCAUCACCAAUACUCAUGAGAGUGAUGAUGAUUUCGUAACCAGUGAAGUCAUAACACAAGACGAUGAUGAUGAUGCUAAAUCUAUGUAUUUCGGGUUACAAUUUAAAACAAGUACAUAUCACUAAAGUUAACACUUUUACCAAUUUAGAAACAAGAGUGUGAUGUCAAUUAUAUGUUUUAUGUAUAGUACUAAAUUUAGGCAA